AGAAUCAUGGUUAUCAAGUUUUAUCCCACCUUGGAGUAGAAGCCCCAUUAUUCAUCAAGAGGAAUCUAGAGAGCAAGGAUCAACUGCAGCCAAUCACAGAAGAAAGGAUACAAUGACAGAAGUCCCUUAUCCUGAGUUCAGGAGUGCAUCCCCAACCUACAGAUACUGAGAGCCAGAAGUGACUGAGCCAAGCCCUGCAGAUGACAGUUAAAUAAUGGCAGCUUCUACAAGAGAGUAUCACCAACCUACAGAUAUAAAGAGCCAGAAGUGACUGAGCCCAGCCCUGCAGAUGACAGUAAAGUAAUGGCAGCUUCUACAAGAGUACAUCGCCAACCUAGAGAUUCAGAGAGCCAGAACUGACUGAGACCAACUUGCCUGUAGACGACCAUAAAAUGAUAGCAGCUUCUAGUAGGAACAGUGCAUCACCAACCUAGAGGAACAGAGAACCAGAAGUGAUGGAGACCAGCCCUGCAGAUGACAGUAAAAUAACAGCAGCUUCAAUCAGAGUGCAUCACCAACCCACAAGAACAGAGAGCCAGAAGUGAUGGAGACCAGCCCUGUAGAUGACAGUAAAAUAACAGCAGCUUCAAUCAGAGUGCAUCACCAACCCACAAGAACAGAGAGCCAGAAGUGAUGGAGACCAGCCCUGCAGAUGACAGUAAAAUAAUGGCAGCUUCAAUCAGAGUGCAUCACCAACCCACAAGAACAGAGAGCCAGAAGUGACUGAGACCAGCCCUGCAGAUGACAGUAAAAUAACAGCAGCUUCAAUCAGAGUGCAUCACCAACCCACAAGAACAGUAGGCCAGAAGUGAUGGAGACCAGCCCUGCAGAUGACAGUAAAACAAUGACAGCUUCUGCAUUCAUAAUUACUGGGCCAAGUAUUGACAAGCCUCCACCCAGAUUCUUUUGUUAGAAGAAGAGUUUAAGAGUAUACUGAUAACCUGCAGCUAAACCUAGAAGUAAGCAGUUUGGUGACCAGAAUUCCAUUAUUCAAGAGCAUGCAGAAUAUCAUACAAUAACUAGAGAUAAAGCAUAGACAGUUGCCCAUAACCUAAAAUGAAGACAAAUACCUGAUGAUGUGGACUUUCAGAAAAGGAUACAGCAAGGAAGGACUUGGUUUAAGAUUUGGAAGAUUGGACAUUACAUCUUGAUCUGAUUGUAACAUAUGUAUGUGUGUGUGUGUUUUUGUUGUUGUUAUGUUAUUUUUGUUCUGGAAAUGUCGUUGUAAAUUUUACUUGUCACAAACCCAGCUGACAACAUUGUGUUAGUCCUGCUUCAUAUUCUAUUAUUAUGAUUGUUAAAUGAUAUGGUAUUUUGUUCCGCCUGUCUGUCUCGAUGGUAGCUAUUCUUGGUUCAGAGCUGUUACAAAAAGACAUAGAAAUGUUUAAACAUUCACUCGGAACUUGAAGCCUUAGCGACAACCUUUAGGUACAUCACAAUGACUUACCUCAAUAGGACACAUUAAUACCAAUGUCUGUGACAUUUAGAGUGACUUUACCUUUGUUGUGCUGCAUUUAAGAGAAUUUCACUUUGGAUAAAGUUAGCUAAGAGGUUAAUGGUAUUUCUGCUAGUAAGUGGUAGGCAUUUCUAGCUUCUGUUGCUGAUACAAAUACUAUGUUGUAUCCUUAGUGAAAGUGCCUGGUCUGGGUACUAGUCAGAUUUGAACACAUAUAGUGCUCAUGGUGUGGGCAUGCACGUUGGGUGCGGUAUAAUAUGCAGAUUUGAAUCUUCCUUUAUAGUACAUCUUUAUUUGCUAUAUUAAUUUUGUUGGGAAAUUUCUGAUUCUCUUCCCCUGGCUUUGUGCCAUAUGUAUUCUGGUGUUUGUUGAACAUUUUUCAAUUGUAUUUCUUUAUUACCGUUUGCCAGUUUCCACAAUGGUAACUAUUAUUGUGCAACAGCUAGGAUUUGAAAUCUUUGCCAGGGAGAUUGCUUAUUUAUGCGCUGAAAUUUUCUUGGAUGCUAAAACGGUGUGUGCCUAUUUUUUGUGGAUUUGACUGUGUUCAUGAAAAUUUUUAGCUAGCAUAAAUAAGCUGCUUUUCUGACAUGAUUUCUGCAUUCCUAUUUAUAUGAAUUAAAAUUGAUGGGCAUGGUGUACCCCUUAAGUAGGUCACAAUGACCUCAAUAUUUAAUAAGAUUAGAUAAGAGAGCUUUUCUGCUUUGACCAGUUUGAUUUACGUAACUUUUACUCUGUGACAGUAUAUAUGCUCUCUUGUGAAACUGUACAUUAUUUUAGACAUUAUGUCUUGGUCAUAGCCCAAGUUUAGGUCACAGUGACCUCCAAAAAUGUGACUUAAAAGGAUCUUCAAUUUGAUAUGUUAACUGGUUAACUAAAGUUGAC